GACGAACGCUGGCGGCGUGCUUAACACAUGCAAGUCGAGCGGUAAGGCCCUUCGGGGUACACGAGCGGCGAACGGGUGAGUAACACGUGGGUGACCUGCCUCUAGCUCUGGGAUAAGCCUGGGAAACUGGGUCUAAUACCGGAUAUGACUCCACGGCGCAUGUUGUGGGGUGGAAAGCCUUGUGUGGCUAGAGAUGGGCCCGCGGCCUAUCAGCUUGUUGGUGGGGNGAUGGCCUACCAAGGCGACGACGGGUAGCCGGCCUGAGAGGGCGACCGGCCACACUGGGACUGAGACACGGCCCAGACUCCUACGGGAGGCAGCAGUGGGGAAUCUUGCGCAAUGGGCGAAAGCCUGACGCAGCGACGCCGCGUGAGGGAUGACGGCCUGG
rnacentral:rRNA from 1 species